rnacentral:rRNA from 1 species
GGGAUGUUGGGUUAAGUCCCGUAACGAGCGCAACCCUUGUCCUUAGUUACCAGCACGUUAUGGUGGCACUCUAAGGAGACUGCCGGUGACAAACCGGAGGAAGUGGGGAUGACGUCAAGUCAUCAUGGCCCUUACGGCCUGGGCUACACACGUGCUACAAUGGUCGGUACAAAGGGUUGCCAAGCCGCGAGGUGGAGCUAAUCCCAUAAAACCGAUCGUAGUCCGGAUCGCAGUCUGCAACUCGACUGCGUGAAGUCGGAAUCGCUAGUAAUCGUGAAUCAGAAUGUCACGGUGAAUACGUUCCCGGGCCUU